UACGAAGGGGGCUAGCGUUGCUCGGAAUUACUGGGCGUAAAGGGCGCGUAGGCGGCACUGUUAGUCAGGCGUGAAAGUCCUGGGCUCAACCUGGGAACUGCGCUUGAUACGGCAGAGCUAGAGGAUGGAAGAGGCUCGCGGAAUUCCCAGUGUAGAGGUGAAAUUCGUAGAUAUUGGGAAGAACACCGGUGGCGAAGGCGGCGAGCUGGUCCAUUACUGACGCUGAGGCGCGACAGCGUGGGGGAGCAAACAG
rnacentral:rRNA from 1 species